CCCUUAGAUGUUCUGGGCAGCACGCGCGCUACAAUGGUCUUCGCAAACGGAUGCAUUCUCGAAGGAGAAUGCCAAUCUUGGAAUCUAAGCCUUGGUCGGGACAGUUGCUUGCAAUUUUUCGACUCGAACCAGGAAUUCCUUGUAAUCGUGAUUCAUCACAUCACGAUGAAUACGUCCCUGCCCUUUGUACACACCGCCCGUCGCUCCUACCGAUCGAAGAGUUAGGUGAAUUGUUUUGAUCGAUAAGAUUUGACUAUGGUCAACUCUCGUUGUGAAAUUCUGUGAAUCUGACUGUUUAGAGGAAGGAAAAGUCGUAACA
rnacentral:rRNA from 1 species